rnacentral:hammerhead_ribozyme from 1 species
GUGAAAUGGCGAGUCCCAAAUAGGACGAAACGUGCGUCCUGGAU